GUCCCUGUAGCCCAAUGGAUAGUGCAUUGGACUUCUAAUUCAAAGAUCAUGGGCUCGAGUCCCAUCAGGGAUG